UAGACUUUCUACAAUCGAUUCUCAUUGAGAAUUAUAAGUAAAUUAUUUUGGCCUGGUACUGCAACCUUCUCAGAAUGUGACGUAAUAUUUUUUGUAUCUUGUUCGUAGAUUCGCUUGGAUCCGUUCGACGAUUCUCGUUCGUGGGUGAUCGGCGAUUCGACAGAAACCGCAGAAUGGACGAGCGAUCGAAAGGGAAACGCUAAGAGGACGUUGGUUCGAAGGGAGAAAGGUUCUUUUUGUCUCCAAAGUCGAGUGUCGCCUCAUUUAAAUAUUUAUCGCCUCUACUAGUUCGUACUGUCCAGCAGAGAAAUAUACCGAUCGCGUCCAACGUUUCGGCACGUCUCUGUUUUGCCUCAACGUCCGUAAAACACGCAUCGUUGGUGCACCUAACGUCGCCCAACCAAACUUCAAGCCCUUCUAAGCCUAAAAGGUAAGACGCCUUUUCGUAUCAAAUCGAUAUCAAACGAAACGAACGUUAUUCUCGUUUACUAUGCACAAGGUAUAGCUUCGGCUUCUGUUGCCGAUUUCUACUCGACGUUCUCUCUUUCCCAAAAUAUUGCGAUUGGCUAAUGUUUAUAAACGUAAUUACGAUAUUAUACGUAUAAUAAUAAUAAUUUUACGCUUUGAUAAUCGCAGCCAAAGUCAGGCUGACGUGACACGCUCCGUGAUGAAAGCGAUACGCACGAACAUGUUGUACGUCUACGGCGGAUCGUAAGUUUGACUGGCGAUCUGCGGGCGAAAUUUUCUUGUACCGUCGCUCUGGUUUUGCUUAAUCUCUUUCGAUGGUUCGAAAGCAACGUUUCGGCGGGGAGAGUAGGAUCUCCCCUUUGAAACGAUAACAGAGAACGCGAGACACAGGACGAGAGGGGUGCAUUUCAAUUGAUCCGUCGCUAUCGUCAGCAGGGUUCGUUGACCAACAUUAUCGUAUACAGUGACGUGCACGCGAACCCUUCUAGAAAAUAAUACGCCGAGAGUGUCCUUGAACCAUCAUCGUUUCCUCGUUAAAAUCAUUUACGAUCCUUUGCUUUUGAUCUUUCGUUUCUGCCACCUUAUCUAUCCGUUUUGCCUUCUCCAUCUCUCGCCUUUCUUUCGUUUUAUUCCUCCCAAUCCGUCUUCGUAUAUCGCAUUGCCAACUAAGUGAUUGCGGAUUUUGUCAUUAGGCGAUAUCGACAAAAUCCGCAUUCACUUAGUUGCCAAUCCAAUAGUUUCGCCAUAGUUUUGUGAUCGCGCCCGAUUAAGCUACGAAAGUACAGUCGCUCGAGUCGAAUAUUUCGUGGAAAAAUCGUUGCAUAAUUUCGAAACGUAGGCUGUGACGUUACACGUAGAAUAAAUUCGAAAUUCCACUUCUUCGAGCCUCGUACUCGCUUACGCUAUUUUCAUAAUACGUUAGCACGGGUACAGUUUAGUAUAGUUCGGUGUAGUUGUCGAAUAUCGUCAUCGAUUUUACGAUGGUAGGAAGACUAUUAUUUGAUAGUGGUAUACGGUACUUAUUAAUCGCAGCAGUCGGCAAUGGAGUACAAAUGGACUUGGUCUCGCUCCUACCACGUUUUACCGAUCUCAAAUUCUUGUUCGAGCCUGUCGUAUCAAUUCCGCUGUUCUUAAGAUUCUCGCAGAAUCACUCUUAUUUCUAUCUUUUCAUUAUUCUUGUUACUAAUUUUUCUCCACUUUCAAGCUACUUGCAAAGUGCAACGUACGCUGUAUCCAGAUAUUUUUGUUUAACGAACGCUCAGUUUCCUCUCGUUUCUUAGCACCUGUGAUAGGAGCUUUUGCAUCGUGCUAUAUUUAACUCCGUUACACCACCUCUUUGAGAUUCUUUUACAGUUCUACGUAGCAAGACGUUAUCUAGUAUUGUUUUCACGGGCGGAAACGAGAGUCGUCCCGGAGCGAGAAAGUCGAUCGGGAAAGAAAGCUGAGUCAUACAGGAAGGAUUCAUCUCAUCCCUCGUCUUACUCAUCCGGCGCUGUUUUUCCAGUUAAUUUAUUUUAUUUAUUUCGCAUACGAGAGAGAAUUCGCGUCAGAUCAACGAACAGUCAGUGUGCAACACGAUGGCACGGAAGAAUUAAAACUUUUUUUUAUAUAUCGUACAAUACGUUUUGAAAUUUCAUUGGCAUUGUAAUCUUGCUAUCACGACUCUGUCGGUAAAAUUGGAAACGAAUCUGAAAAUUUCUAUAGAAGUUACGAGAUAUUUGGCGGAAACGCACAUUUGAGAAAGAUCAUCGAGAUAUUUGAACAAUAAAUCGUUCGCUAUAUUAAUAAUCCAUAACCCGUAGUUAGACCAUUUUUGCCAUUAAUCGUAUGUUUCCAGGCUACUGUUCACGCUGUAUGUUAAUUUCUCGCUAAAGUGUAUUUUCGCGAUGAGUGUCUUGUUAUAGUUUCUAUAUACAUUUCCACGUUGGUCUCAAGUUCGCGACUCUGUCGGUAAAAUUGGAAACGAAUCUGAAAAUUUCUAUAGAAGUUACGAGAUAUUUGGCGAAAACGCACACUUGAAAAGAUCAUCGAGAUAUUUGAACAAUGAAUCGUUCGCCAUAUUAAUAAUCCAUAACCCGUAGUUAGACCAUUUUUGCCACUAAUCGUAUGUUUCCAGGCUACUGUUCACGCUGUAUGUUAAUUUCUCGCUAAAGUGUAUUUUCGCGAUGAGUGUCUUGUUAUAGUUUCUAUAUACAUUUCCACGUUGGUCUCAAGUUUCGCGACUCUGUCGGUAAAAUUGGAAACGAAUCUGAAAAUGUCUAUAGAAGUUACGAGAUAUUUGGCGGAAACGCUCACUUGGAAAGAUCAUCGAGAUAUUUGAACAUUGAAUGAAUCGAUUUGAAGUUUCGCUACUGUAUAAUCGCGAUAGUCGUGUAUCGGUCUAUAUCGGUACUAACGAAAUAUUAAAAAGUUUCGUAGAAAAAGCGUGCGAAUACUUUUACUAGCUGUACGAAAAGUAAGAGAAGGUUGAAGAAAAUAGGAGAUGAUAGAGAAAAAGAGGAGAAAAGAGUCGUGGGACCAAGAACGAAUCUCUCGUCAAGCUUUUUCAAAAUCACCGACAAUUCGAACGAGACGUGUGAAGAUGUUCGCUUUGAGCGUAAGGUAGCCAGUCGGAACUAAUAAACCAAUAACGAUCGUUUUUUUCGUUCCUUCCGUAUAUUCGAUGUCGUUUAUUUGAUGCGAUGAUAAACGAAAUUAAUAGAUAGUUUCCUAGGUCAACGAUGCAGGAGGGCCAAUUUAUUUGCAACCUUGAACCAUCCCGGGACUCCAUUACCAAUAACAUCCAUCGUAAUUAUUGUCCGCUUCGUUUGUCAAGAAUUAAUGGUCUGAAACAGCGUAUAUCGUAUCGUUUGCUAUAUCGUGUUUCAGAUUGAAAUUGAAUUAUACGAAAGCGUAGUUCGUCCGCCCACUGCGCUGUGGCGCUCAAAUUCGCGUUACUUUUCUUUUUCGUUUAAUAUCACGCAGCAUCCGUUAAUCCUAAUGAGCAAGUGGAACGUUGGGAACGUCGAGGACUUAGUAAGCAGCUGUUUCGGCUUAUUGUGCUUUUCCUAUAAUAGCAUGAAACACGGUAUUACGGUAUAGCAUUGUUAUUAUCUCGAUGCGAUUCAACGAGAUAUACGUUGUAUAACGUUACAAAUUUCCUUCUUUUUGCGAUAUCGCCCAUUCGUUAGUUCGUGAUUUAUCGAAUAAUAAUUCCCAUAAGAACAAAGAUACGCCGUUGCACGGAUGUUGUAGAAACGACUAAGCGAAUAAAUUUCACGCGGUACAACACGAGUGAGAUUCGAUGUGAAAAGGACAGACGGAGAAGGAGACGUAAAAUUCAAUGUGAAAAUAGGAAAGAAUGGAAAAUAUGGAACAAGCUAGGAUCGUGUUCGUUCGUUGCAUAUUUUAUUAGAAACUGGGACAUUGUUCGUAUUUGACGCAAUUUCGACGAUUCCACUAUGCAUCUCAAGUCUGUAUUCCUUCACAGAGGAAUGCCCAUUUCUUCUUCAAUUUCUACAUUCCGUUGUUCCUUCUUCCUUUACGCGGUAAGAUGGUAAUAAAUAAGUUAAUAAAUAAAAAGAAACUAUCUUCAACUUAGUCACAGGCGAGUUAAGAUGCUAAAAAAUGUAUGGAGGAAACGUAGAAUUCUCUACUUCGUGUAAAAUCUACCAGCAGAAUUUAAUCUUAACUUCGACCACUACCGCAGACAAAGAUGAUGAGAAGGAGAUCGCCGAUGAGCUUGGCAGAAAUUCGGCCGAAAGUGCGCUUCACUAACUAGCGCUUCUAGCGGUCAAACGUCUGAACUAUACGCAUAUUACUACACCACGAUACUCUCGGUGGUAUAAACGUGACCCUGACGACCGGCUGUACAGAGUUGGCCGAAAACAGGCUCGUAUUCUUAGUGACGCUUCGAAAACAAGCGGCAAUACGUUGCACCGUACUUCGAGCGCUUAUAAUCUUCAUUCUCACUUUCGUAUAAGAAGACUUGUUUUAUCUACACUAGUCAGGUAACGGAAUCAAGUUAUUGUAAAAUCGUACAUUUAUUACAAACCUGCAAAUUCAUUUGAAUAGAACAAAGCCAUUUUCCAAAUGAACGAAGCAUCUGAUUAUUCAGAACAUAAGAGGUAUCCGAAACCCUUUGAAAUUCCUGGAAAUUACGGCAUUUAAUGACGUCAUAAAUAACGAAAUAGAAGGUGGCACAAAUUUUCCGAUUUUCGGAAAUAAAACCCGUCUCACGAGUAUAUCGAAGAAAACGACUUGGCAAACUUUUUGAUUGUUUCAUUUUUGUAUCAGGGGAAGAAAGCGUCGUAGCAGGGGCUUCAAGUUCGCCGAUUCUUGGAAACAAAGUUUCUUCCACGAAUUUAUCACAACCGCGAUUCGACAAAUUUUUUCAUUGAUUGUUUCGUUUAUAUAUCAGGAGAACAAGACGUAGCAGGGGCUACAAGUUCGCCGAUUCUUGGAAAUGAUAUGCUAUUUUCAAGGAAUUUUCGUAAGCUGGUUUGCUGUCUUUUUUCAUACGAUAUUUCGUUUAAUUAUACGUGGUCUUAACCACUUCUCAAUUUCAUUUGUUGAUUUUGUGUGACUUUUUCCGGGAUAAAUAACAAGAUCGAACAAUGCUAUCGAACUAUACUGAUUUGUUCAAACUUUCUCUAAAUACAUUUUUUACAAUUAUUUUGCAAUAAAUUAUCUAAUUUUUUAUGUUAAUUAUAUUAUACUAUCAUUUCCAAGAAGAUCGUUGUUGCCGGUUAGUUGAUGGAUAAUAUUGGCAGCAGUUGACUGUUUGUGGCAUCAUGCUUGUAUCUGUCCGCAAAAUGGCUUUUUUUUAUAUAUACAAAAAACUGCUUAUUCCUAUUUUUUAAUUAAACUUUGUUAAUCAUCUAGUUAGACAAACUUUUUUAAAACUAAAAAUGUGGGGGAAUAUGGUAACACUAAAAAAUUCCAAUUAGGAAAAUCUCCAUUAAUCACUGAAAUAAAUUUACAUCAUUUGUAUGUCUUUUAUUUGUUAAAGGAAAUGCUCGAUUUCUGAUAUAAUCUCGCGAAUCAAAAUAUAAUCGUAAAAUUUAUCUCUAAAAAAACUAGUUUGAUAAUUAUUAGAAAAAGAUGAUUGUUAAAAGUUGGCAUAUUAUACUAUAGCUACAAGGUAUUCUAUAAAAAUCGUUUAUCUUUGAAAUUAUCGCGGUCGUCUACGACAACUUACGUCUACAACUACGUCGAUAACUGUUCUUUUGUAUGUGCGCUAUCUGUGCUGUUACUUACAAGAUACACGUAUUACCUACUGUCGAUAAAGUUAUAAUACCAUUUAAAAAGUCAUAAAAAUGUACCAGAAAAGAAAUUUGCGGGAUAUUUUCGAUAUACGUUUCAAAGUCAAGUAUUUCGUUGAUGUAAAAUUUAUAUUUUAUUUACGAAAAAUGUAAGAAACUUUCAUAACCAAUUACAAAGCAUCGGUAUAAGACAAAAAUGCAUCGUAAUACUGCGAAUGUUGCAAAGAGGGCGUGAAGUACUCUGAAAUAUCUUAUUUUUAUGUAUGAUACACGAUACAUAUUUAUAAUAGGAAAACUUUCUCUAUCUUCUUUUACAUACUAAGAAACAAAUAUUUUUACGUUUUCACUGGCCCUCCUAGAUAUGCAUUAAUAUGAUCAUAUAUGUUUAUUAAAAAGAAAGAUCAUACUUGAGUCUUGUAACAAAUACAAAAGUGUCGUUAGACAGAGUGAAAACUUAUGUGGAGAAAGCAAUACAGAAAAGAUAGUAAUAACAUACGAUACAAGAUGCAAAUAAAUUAUAGAUCGUAUUAUU